GCCGCCAGAGGGCACUGUCCGGCCCCCGCCGGGACCCCGCCGAGCGGCAGCCAGGUGGCCUGAGCAUGGCAGACAAAGCUGAUGUCAGAUGGAGGCAUGUGGGCAUUUGUCAUAAGAGGUAUGCUCGGAAGAUAUGUCUUCAGAUCAUCUGCGUCUCAUUCUUAUGGAAGAGCCACGUUUCCACCAAGCUACCCAGACAUCUUAGCUCCAGAAUGACUUGGGAUAUAAAUAAACUAAAUAUAUCCUAUUUGAAUAACAAGUGGAAGACAGCUUGAUGAAUUGGACAAGCAGGUAAUACCAACAC